GCGGGGAUAGCUCAGUUGGAGGAGCGUUCAGACUGAAGAUCUGAAGGUCGCGUGUUCGAAUCCACGCUCACCGCA